rnacentral:rRNA from 1 species
UCUAUGGUGACGCGGAGGGACAUU